UACGUAGGGUGCAAGCGUUGUCCGGAAUUAUUGGGCGUAAAGAGCUCGUAGGCGGUCUGUCGCGUCUGCUGUGAAAACUCGGGGCUUAACCCCGGGCCUGCAGUGGGUACGGGCAGACUAGAGUGCGGUAGGGGAGACUGGAAUUCCUGGUGUAGCGGUGAAAUGCGCAGAUAUCAUGAGGAACACCGGUGGCGAAGGCGGGUCUCUGGGCCGUAACUGACGCUGAGGAGCGAAAGCGUGGGGAGCGAACAGG
rnacentral:rRNA from 1 species